UCAAACUUGGUCAUUUAGAGGAAGUAAAAGUCGUAACAAGGUUUCCGUAGGUGAACCUGCGGAAGGAUCAUUACAACAAGGCCAUGGGCCCCCCGGCGCCCCGGCGCUGGAGGGUACCGGCCUGACUUACACACCCACCCUUUGCCUAUGUGUACCCCUAUCGCUUCCUCGGCAGGCCCGCCUGCCGCCAGGAACCACGUAAACCCUUUGCAUCAUACAUCAACUCUGAUACCAACCAAAAACUAUUACAACUUUUAACAAUGGAUCUCUUGGUUCUGGCAUCGAUGAAGAACGCAGC
rnacentral:misc_RNA from 1 species